UUACUCUGGUUUCUCUUAAGAUCGUAUAAAUCUUUGGCAUUUUACUAAAGAUUGCUGUGGAGAGGAACAGGCAAGAGUGUUGAAAAUUUUUUUGAGGCUUCACUUCAGUGAAAAA